rnacentral:rRNA from 1 species
GACGAACGCUGGCGGCGUGCCUAAUACAUGCAAGUAGAACGCUGAAGGAGGAGCUUGCUUCUCUGGAUGAGUUGCGAACGGGUGAGUAACACGUAGGUAACCUGCCUGGGAGCGGGGGAUAACUAUUGGAAACGAUAGCUAAUACCGCAUAAUAGUAGAUGUUGCAUGACAUUUACUUAAAAGUUGCAAUUGCAUCACUACCAGAUGGGCCUGCGUUGUAUUAGCUAGUUGGUGGGGCAACGGCUCACCCAGGCGACGAGACAUCGUCGACCUGAGAGGGGGGUCGGCCACACUGGGAGUGUGACACGCCACAGACGCCUUCGGGUGGCGGCCAGAGUGAAUCUGCGGGCAUGGGCGAAAGUCUGACCGCGAAAGGCGGCGUGAGUGAAGAAGGUUUUCGGGUCGUGGAGCACGGUUGUCGGGGAAGAACGAGUGUGAGAGUGGAAAGUUCACACAGUGACGGUAUCUGAUCAGAAAGGAACGGCUAACUACGUG